GCCGACUUAGCUCAGCGGUAGAGUGCUUCCUUGGUAAGGAAGAGGUCACGGGUUCAAUUCCCGUAGUUGGCU
rnacentral:tRNA from 2 species